rnacentral:rRNA from 1 species
GACGAACGCUGGCGGCGUGCUUAACACAUGCAAGUCGAACGGUGAAGCGCCUCCCUUUUUGGUGGGUGUGGAUGAGUGGGUAAGGGGGAGUUAAACGUGAGUAACCUGGCCCCUUCUUCCGGGUAACCGCAUGAAAAUGUGGCCGAUAAGGGUUAUUCCGGGGCUUGUGCAUGAUGGGUCCGGGGAAGCUUUUGGUUCGGGUGGGGGUGGGCUCGCGGCCUAUCAGCUUGUUGGUGGGGUGAUGGCCUACCAAGGCGGUGACGGGUAGCCGGCCUGAGAGGGUGGACGGUCACACUGGGACUGAGACACGGCCCAGACUCCUACGGGAGGCAGCAGUGGGGAAUAUUGCACAAUGGGCGCAAGCCUGAUGCAGCGACGCCGCGUGAGGGAUGGAGGCCUUCGGGUUGUGAACCUCUUUCGCCAGUGAAGCAGGCCUGCCUCGUUUGUGGGUGGGUUGACGGUAGCUGGAUAAGAAGCGCCGGCUAACUACGUG